UGGGGAAUAUUGCACAAUGGGCGAAAGCCUGAUGCAGCGACGCCGCGUGAGGGAUGACGGCCUUCGGGUUGUAAACCUCUUUCAGCAGGGAAGAAGCGAAAGUGACGGUACCUGCAGAAGAAGCGCCGGCUAACUACGUGCCAGCAGCCGCGGUAAUACGUAGGGCGCAAGCGUUGUCCGGAAUUAUUGGGCGUAAAGAGCUCGUAGGCGGUUAGUCGCGUCUGCUGUGAAAACUCGAGGCUCAACCUCGGGCUUGCAGUGGGUACGGGCUGACUAGAGUGCGGUAGGGGUGACUGGAAUUCCUGGUGUAGCGGUGGAAUGCGCAGAUAUCAGGAGGAACACCGAUGGCGAAGGCAGGUCACUGGGCCGCAACUGACGCUGAGGAGCGAAAGCAUGGGGAGCGAACAGGAUUAGAUACCCUGGUAGUCCAUGCCGUAAACGUUGGGCACUAGGUGUGGGGUCCAUUCCACGGAUUCCGUGCCGCAGCAAACGCAUUAAGUGCCCCGCCUGGGGAGUACGGCCGCAAGGCUAAAACUCAAAUGAAUUG
rnacentral:rRNA from 1 species